UAUAAAAGCCUUCUCCCUCCUUAAUUUAUGUAUUCACUUUACAUUCUAACCAAUGCCCCCAUCCUUCCUCACUCAGCCCCUCCCCUCUCCUCUUCUGAGAAGGGGGAGGUACCCCUUGGGUAUCACCCUACCCUGGCACGAGGUUACACCUAGAAGCCUUUGAGGAGACUGAAGAAGCCCCACCAGGAUAGGAGAGAUGUAUACCCCUGCUAGUACCCCAUGUGGUCUACCAGCUCUGGGAACAGAAAGAGCUGGCAAAACUUUUGCAGUUGGAUAUGGUCUUUAAGUGAGAUCUUAACAGCUAUGGGAAUAUAAGAGCCCAAGCGAUACUUUGCACACACAUUGUGAACUCGCGAUGUUUUACUUGUGAUGUUCUAAUCAUCACACUGGACUGCAGCCAUUAAGCAGUUCUGAAAAUGGAAGUGGAAGCUGAGGCUUCUAAAACAGGAGGCAACCAACGAUUGCUAAGGUGCAGCUUUCAUGCUAACAGGCUGACUGACCGCUACCUGAGAACUGAGUCUUCCUGCAGGAACCGUGUUCUGUCCUCUGAAAGAUAACACAUCCAGUGGUGUCCACUGCUGUCAAGACUGCUAGCAAUGGCAUGGAUGAAUGCCCUUUAAUUUGGUCUUUCUGCAUCUGUACAAAACCUGUGAACCUGUAUUUUUAGAGGGAAGAUGUUUUCUUUAAAAAAAAAAAAAAAAACCAAACUGUGCCAGCUGGAAAGAAACAGGGUUGCCCUAACAACAAGCUUCCUGAGUGGCUCCCUUCUGUGCGUGGGAAGAGAACCACCGUGCAGGGACUGCGCUGCUUUCUCCCGCAGGUCAGAGAGCAGAGAGCCCUGGGAAACCUGGGUGGCCAUGCACUCUCGGUGAAAAUGCACUAGAGAUUCACCAACUUAAAAGCUGAACUAAGUAGAUGCAAACUAAGUAGAAAGAAGAACAAGGGAGGAGAGAGGAAUUGAAACUGUGGAGUAGCUGGAAUCACGGGGAAUGAGGAAAAGAUUGCAAACCCAGAAAUAGCCUUUCCUUUGGGCGACUUCACCAGUAAAGAUGCACAUAAGAUGUGUCUAAUUGCAAAGUGCUGUGACCGCAAGAUCAUGGCCAUCAACAGUAUGGCUGUCCCAGUGUUUCAAAGAGGAGAUAAAGCCCUCCCCAGGCCUUCGGGCUUCUUGCUUCUUGUUCAAACUUCAGGGUAUCUGGACUUUCAGUAGGAUUAACUGAUCAGAGUUUGGAACGUUGCAGUCCAGAGUCAAAUUAUCUUCAGUUCUCUUAAUAGCCAUUUAUUGCCCUUUUCUCUUCCUGACCUAGAGACUUUGUGAGCACUAGGAGAAGCAUUGGGAUGUACACACAAAGCGCUAGUUUUCCUUAGGAAUGCAUUAACUGAGCAGAUCAUUGGCUUCUUCUGGUCCAAAAGCUAAGAGUCAUCACGUAGUAUCUGAGGCUGGAGCUGAGGCCUCUCCACUUGGCUGUAACCUGCCUCCAAGACGAUCGAGCCCACCAAAGAAUUGGAAGUGUCUUGAAGUAUGUCUUUCUUCAUUCUGUUACUAUAAAAACUUCAUGAUAUUGCUUUCACAUUGUAUAUGCAAUUUGGGGUAAUCUAAAUCUUUGUUGCUAGGCCAUGAUCAGCCAUAUUUUCUCCAAAAUAAACUUCCUUCCUUCCUUUU